GAAGGAUCAUUACCGAGUGCGGGAACCCAGUCGGGUCCCAAUCUCCCACCCGUGUCUACCACACCUAGUGUUGCUUUGGCGGGCCCACUCCUCCGGUGUUCCGCCGGGGGGGUCGUCCCGGGGCGCGGUGUGCCCCCGGGGCCCGUGCCCGCCAGAGGCACUCACUGUGAACGCUUUUGUGAAUGCGAGGAUUGUCUGAGUGACGAAAUGCAAUCGUUCAAAACUUUCAACAAUGGAUCUCUUGGUUCCGGCAUCGAUGAAGAACGCAGCGAAAUGCGAUAAGUAAUGUGAAUUGCAGAAUUCCGUGAAUCAUCGAAUCUUUGAACGCACAUUGCGCCCUCUGGUAUUCCGGGGGGCAUGCCUGUCCGAGUGUCAUUGCGAACCCUCAAGCACGGCUUGUGUGUUGGGCCGCCGUCCCCUCGUUUGGAGGGGACGGGCCUGAAAGGCAGCGGCGGCGUCGCGUCCGGUCCUCGAGCGUAUGGGGCUCUGUCACGCGCUCAAGGAGGGGUCCGGCCGGGGCCAUAGCCUCUGAAGGUCAAUUCUUCCAAGGUUGACCUCGGAUCAGGUAGGAGUACCCGCUGAACUUAA
rnacentral:rRNA from 1 species